CGAAAUGCGAUAAGUAAUGUGAAUUGCAGAAUUCAGUGAAUCAUCGAAUCUUUGAACGCAUCUUGCG
rnacentral:rRNA from 2 species